rnacentral:tRNA from 1 species
GAGAAGGUGGCUCAGUGGUAAUAGCACUUGCCUCACAUGCAUGAGGCCCUGGGUUCGAUUCCUCACCACCACA